GGCGGGUCCAGAGGACGUCAGACUUGGUCUGCAGGUACAGUAGGCCUUCACUCCCAGGCGAAUAAUUCGUGAUUCUUGCGGCAUUUCCAGGUUGCUGGAUUCCUCAGCUACAAGUCUGUGAUAUAUGAAGUAAGGAGAAAACCCAGGAAACUUAGCACCAUGUUGUUCCUUGGGAUGAAGCUUGAGGAAAAAAAAGUCCUUUAUAUACUUCCUCCAUAACUCAGUUGAAAUAUGUUGGGAUUAUUCAAAAGAAACUUCACUGAAAAACCUAAGGGAAGAGAAGAAGGGAGCAAAAAAAGAAAAUAAAGUCUGUAACACAAGUACUGUAAUAAAUAACACCCUUCAGGAUGGACCCAGGAUGAGAUGCUGGUUGGGUGGCUUGUGGAGUUAGGCAACACUGCCCCCUAGAGGUUAUCACUAUGCUCUGUGCCAAGCCACCCUCCAACUCUCAGAAUGUUCAGAGAACUUUUGCCAUAGAGCAUUCCAGGACUGUACAGUGGGAGCCCAGCCACAUCCAUUAACAUGCGUGGAUCCCAGGAACCCUGUGGGAAAGAAAAUGACUUGGAAACUCCAAGAUGCAGACAUGUGCAGAUCAGCUCUCUUGAAGAUAACUAGAGCUUCCUGGAAGGAGCUAGACAGGAGAGAAACAAUAGGGUUCCUGAGAGAGAAUUGCCAAGAGAGAAAAGUAUGGCUAAGUGAGUCUGCCUGAACGUGAGGGCCUGGAAAUCCAGGAAUGAGGGAUCUUAGGAACAGUGUCUGUGCCUGGCCUUCUGCUUAAUCAGUCUCCCCAAGAAGCACAUGUGUUCCAGGAGGGGGAGGACUGUGGUAUGAAGAGGGGAGGCAGGCAGGGGGACCAAUCUACCACUUUGUCCAGGACUGUUCUACUUUUAUCGAUUAAAUCCCUGAAGUCUGGGAAACUUCUCAGUUCUGAGCAAACCAAAAAGUUGUUCACCACAGAGGCAGCUCACCAGGGGCCAAGUGCUCUGCUGUGGGAACUCCCUAGUAAGGAGCUGAUCAGAAGAAAUAGCCAACAUUUCCCUGAUGCGUAGACAGGAAGGAGACCCAUGAGUCUGGUGGGCCAGAGGACAUGAGCAACACUGCGCUGCUUACUGGUAGGCAGAACAAAAGAACACCAGACACACAGACACCCAAACAUUCAGAAGAGCCAGACAGAACAGAUACAUUACCUAAGCAAAAGGGGGACAAAAAUUAGACCGACAGCUGACUAAUCUAGAGGAAAAGUAAAAGCUGGAAGAUAAUGGCAUAAUAUCUUCAAAUAGUUGUAAGAAAAUAAUGUCAACCUAGAAUUGUCUUUCCGGAGAAAUUAUCUUUCAAGAACAAGGGUGAAAUAAAUACAUGUUCAGAUAAAUAAAACUCAGAAAAUAGAUCAUCAAAAGACUCUAACUAAAGGAAAGCCUAAAGUUCCACUGUCCAAUAUGGUAGACACUAGCCACAUGUGACUAUUUAAAUUAAUUAAAAUAAAAUAAAAUUAAAAGUUCAGUAACUCAGUCAAAUCAUCACAUUUCAAGUGCUUAAUAGCCAUACAUGACUAGUGGCUACCAUAUUGAACAGUGCAGAUAUAGAAUAUUUCCACAAUUGUAGAAAGUUCUUUUGAACAACACGUUAAAAAGUAUAUGUCAACAGAAGGAAACUGUUCUAGAAAGAAUAUCUGAGAUGCAAAGUGAAAGGUCAAGUAAAUAAAAUGGUAAAUGUGAGAGUAAAUCUAAGCAAACACUGAUGAUGUAAAAUAACAUUUAUGUCUGCUCAGUCUAGAAUUACCAUAUGACCUGACAAUCCCACUACUAGGUAUAUACCCGAAAGGAUUGAAAGCAGUAAGUCGAACAGAUAUUUGCACACCAAUG